CGGAGGAAAAGAAACCAACAGGGAUUGCCUCAGUAACGGCGAGUGAAGCGGCAAGAGCUCAACUUUGGAAUCGCUCCGGCGAGUUGUAGUCUGGAGGUGGCCACCACGAGGUGUUCUAGCAGCAGGCAAGUCCUUUGGAACAAGGCGCCAGCGAGGGUGACAGCCCCGUACCUGCUUUUGCUAGUGCUUCCUGUGGCCCACCGACGAGUCGAGUUGUUUGGGAAUGCAGCUCUAAGUGGGUGGUAAAUUCCAUCUAAGGCUAAAUAUUGGCGAGAGACCGAUAGCGAACAAGUACAGUGAUGGAAAGAUGAAAAGCACUUUGAAAAGAGAGUGAAACAGUACGUGAAAUUGUUGAAAGGGAAGGGCUUGCACCCAGACACGGUUUCGGCCGGGCCAGCAUCAAGUAGAACGGGGUUAAAAGACCUGGGGAAUGUAGCUACCUCUUGGUAGUGUUAUAGCCCUUGGGUGAUGACCCCUGUUUUGCUUGAGGACAGCGGUCUCUAGGAUGCUGGCGCAAUGGUUGCAAGCCACCCGUCU
rnacentral:rRNA from 1 species